CAAAAUCGAUUUUCAUGACUAAAAGCUAAACAAGAAUCGAUUAUUCUUUCCAUACAAAAUCUCCAAAAUCGAUUUUUCCUGUAUGACAAAAUCGAUUUGCGUUCUUUACACAUUGCAUGCAAAAUCGAUUUUACCUUUUCCAGAAUUCUUUGAUUUCUUGCAUAGUGCCCAAUCUGAGAAAAUUGUGAUGCACAUGUUAGAGUAAGGGUAUCAGCGUAGAAACGUAUACUCCUGCGUAUAAUCCUCUCAAAUCCACGUACUUGUGUGAAGAUGACAAUUUGCUAACUACCCGCUCCUUCAUCCGCACAGGCACCUCCAAAACAGUGAAAACAAACAAGGUAGUCACCUGCUCGUCAAUCUUACUCCAAUCUCAUCCGCAAAAGCAAUCAAGGCAUUAAUGAUGUUGCAUUAGUCUUGGUUAUGCUUCCAUCGAAGAAUCCAAGAAUUGAGUUCUCCCUCGAGAGAUUCGUUAUAAAAACUUAGUUUACCUUGCCAACUCUGGGAUGUUGAGAAUAUCUUUGUAAAAGAACCCUCUGAAU
rnacentral:lncRNA from 1 species